UGGGCGUAAAGAGCUCGUAGGCGGUUUGUCGCGUCUGCUGUGAAAACUGGAGGCUCAACCUCCAGCCUGCAGUGGGUACGGGCAGACUAGAGUGCGGUAGGGGAGAUUGGAAUUCCUGGUGUAGCGGUGGAAUGCGCAGAUAUCAGGAGGAACACCGAUGGCGAAGGCAGAUCUCUGGGCCGUAACUGACGCUGAGGAGCGAAAGGGUGGGGAGCAAACAGGCUUAGAUACCCUGGUAGUCCACCCCGUAAACGUUGGGAACUAGAUGUGGGGACCAUUCCACGGUCUCCGUGUCGCAGCUAACGCAUUAAGUUCCCCGCCUGGGGAGUACGGCCGCAAGGCUAAAACUCAAAGGAAUUGACGGGGGCCCGCACAAGCGGCGGAGCAUGCGGAUUAAUUCGAUGCAACGCGAAGAACCUUACCAAGGCUUGACAUAUACCGGAAACGGCGAGAGAUCGUCGCCCCGCAAGGUCGGUAUACAGGUGGUGCAUGGUUGUCGUCAGCUCGUGUCGUGAGAUGUUGGGUUAAGUCCCGCAACGAGCGCAACCCUCGUUCUAUGUUGCCAGCACGUAAUGGUGGGAACUCAUGGGAUACUGCCGGGGUCAACUCGGAGGAAGGUGGGGACGACGUCAAAUCAUCAUGCCCCUUAUGUCUUGGGCUUCACGCAUGCUACAAUGGCCAGUACAAAGGGCUGCAAUACCGUAAGGUGGAGCGAAUCCCAAAAAAGCUGGUCCCAGUUCGGAUUGAGGUCUGCAACUCGACCUCAUGAAGUCGGAGUCGCUAGUAAUCGCAGAUCAGCAACGCUGCGGUGAAUACGUUCCCGGGCCUUGUACACACCGCCCGUCAAGUCAUGAAAGUCGGUAACACCCGACGCCGGUGGCCUAACCCUUUAUUGGGAGGGAGCCGUCUAAGGUGGGAUUGGUAAUUAGGACUAACUCGUAACAAGGUAACCGUAAAG
rnacentral:rRNA from 1 species